GAACACAUUGUGUACAUGUUGGAAAACACCAUGUUCAAUAGUAUUUCAGUGUUCAAAACAGUUAAGAAUCAGUUUCAAUGGAGGUGCAUUAAAAUUACACUAGUUGGUGCUGUGGAUCACAUACUGGAAAAAUCUACUUUACCACAUAUUAUCCAUUAUAUUUACCAGAUACUCUUAACAGCCGCUUUAACAAUGAAAAGAAAUGUCUUGGAAGGCAGUCGGGAGGAGGCUCAGAUCAGGAAAAACCAUGCUGUGUGUGUGAACAACAGGCACAACGGGUUUCACUAGUUACCACAGCUACAAAGUCAAAAUGCACAUUGAUAAAUAUUUGCUUUUUGGUCUUAAUUUAAGGUUAGGGUUGAGGUUAGGGUUGAGGUUAGGCAUAAGGUUAGGGUUGAGGUUAGGCAUAAGGUUAGGGUUGAGGUUAGGCAUAAGGUUAGGGUUGAGGUUAGGGUUGAGGUUAGGCAUAAGGUUAGGGUUGAGGUUAGGGUUGAGGUUAGGCAUAAGGUUAGGGUUGAGGUUAGGCAUAAGGUUAGGGUUGAGGUUAGGGUUGAGGUUAGGCAUAAGGUUAGGGUUGAGGUUAGGGUUGAGGUUAGGCAUAAGGUUAGGGUUGAGGUUAGGGUUGAGGUUAGGCAUAAGGUUAGGGUUGAGGUUAGGCAUAAGGUUAGGGUUGAGGUUAGGGUUGAGGUUAGGCAUAAGGUUAGGGUUGAGGUUAGGGUUGAGGUUAGGCAUAAGGUUAGGGUUGAGGUUAGGCAUAAGGUUAGGGUUGAGGUUAGGGUUGAGGUUAGGCAUAAGGUUAGGGUUGAGGUUAGGGUUGAGGUUAGGGUUGAGGUUAGGCAUAAGGUUAGGGUUGAGGUUAGGCAUAAGGUUAGGGUUGAGGUUAGGCAUAAGGUUAGGUAAGGGGAAAAUAAGCUGUUACCCACAAGGAGUACAGAGUGGACAGGCACAUAGACAAUUAGCUUACUCAUUUUAUGACCCUCUAGUUCAAACCAAGAUACCAUUUUUACCAAUAGGUGAGGUGGUCCCAGAAAGGGCAGUCCCCUGUAACUGGGAUUCUCCUUAUUAACACAUUCAUAGUAUCCUUUAUAUAGAUGGGAUGCUUCUUAUUGACACAUUCAUAGUAUCCUUUACAUAGAUGGGAUGCUCCUUAUUGACACAUUCAUAGUAUCCUUUACAUAGAUGGGAUGCUUCUUAUUGACACAUUCAUAGUAUCCUUUAUAUAGAGGGGAUGCUCCUUAUUGACACAUUCAUAGUAUCCUUUACAUAGAUGGGAUGCUUCUUAUUGACACAUUCAUAGUAUCCUUUACAUAGAUGGGAUGCUUCUUAUUGACACAUUCAUAGUAUCCUUUAUAUAGAUGGGAUGCUCCUUAUUGACACAUUCAUAGUAUCCUUUGCAUAGACGAGAUGCUCCUUAUUGACACAUUCACAGUAUCCUUUAUAUAGAUGGGAUGCUCCUUAUUGACACAUUCAUAGUAUCCUUUACAUAGAUGGGAUGCUUCUUAUUGACACAUUCAUAGUAUCCUUUGCAUAGACGAGAUGUUCCUUAUUGACACAUUCAUAGUAUCCUUUACAUAACUGGGAUGCUUCUGAGAUAAGGGGUUGAGAAAGGAGUCAAUAUACUCUGCCACAUUACAUGUCUUUUAAACAAUGGGACAGUCAGGGGGUAUCUGGAAGGGAACCGUCCAUAAACCUGGGUCCUUAUGUCUUUUAAACAAUGGGACAGUCAGGGGGUAUCUGGAAGGGAACCGUCCAUAAACCUGGGUCCUUAUGUCUUUUAAACAAUGGGACAGCCAUAGCAAACCUUCUUGCCACAGCUCGCAUUGAUGUGCCAUCCUGGAUGAGCUGCACUACCUGAGCCACUUGUGUGGGUUGUAGACUCCGUCUCAUGCUACCACUAGAGUGAAAGCACCGCCAGCAUUCAAAAGCGACCAAAACAUCAGCCAGGAGGCAUAGGAAAUGAGAAGUGGUCUGUGGUCAUCACCUGCAAAACCACGCCUUUAUUGGGGGUGUCUUGCUAAUUGCCUAUAAUUUCCACCGGUUGUCUAUUCCAUUUGCACAACAGCAUGUGAAAUUGAUUGUCAAUCAGUGUUGCUUCCUAAGUGGACAGUAUGAUUUCACAGAAGUGUGAUUGACUUGGAGUUACAUUGUGUUGUUUAAGUGUUCCCUUUAUUUUUUGAGCAGUGUAUAUAGUGCUGAACAUUGUUAAAUCCAACCAGUUGAACGUAUGCGUUGGUACUUAAUGAGUAUGAUGUCAGUUCGGUUGUCAUCUGAGACAUUCUCAUCAAUGAUAGGAUGACAUAAACGGUACAAUGGAAAGUCUACACAUUAUAGUUAUCAGAUUCAGAUUCUAGUUAUCAGCCGCUAUAAACGUGGGCUAGGAGAGGAAAGACAGAGUAUCCCGUCUACCACCCAACGACGACACUACAACGUAUUCCGUUCCCGUUCAGAGACACUCUUCAAAGGACAGAGGACUCUGUUGGGCAACACGGCCUUCCAUCUACCACCAACCUAUUGAAGCGCAGUUCAGAGUAAAUAUAUUUUCCUUUCCCAAAUGGGCGGUAAUUUAGAAUGCAUAAGAUUCUGUAUUUACGAUAGAGUAGUUGCCUACGGCCCGAUAGAGACAUCGCUUCUCUCUUUGUUCUUCAUUCUUCCCGCUCUUUCAAUCAAACCCAACCCACUUUCUUUGCGUAGUCAUAUCUGUUCCGUCCGCCAGGGACGUUUUCCUUUAUGACAUAAUUUGUAAUCAUGAUUCAUUCUGUGUAUAUGUAAUUCUGUGUGAUUAGUUAGGUAUUUAGUAAAUAAAUAAUUAAACCCAAUUUUGUAUUGCUGAUUCAACUUGUUAGCCAGGGUUCGUGCAGAUAACCAAGAAUUUACAACUUUCAGAUGAGCCUGAAUUAAGAUGACGAUUAAUAUUGACUGCUAUUGAUGUACAAUAUUACUAAGUCUUUAAGAGUUUUUUUUGAAGAUAGGUCUGUAAUUUUUAUCAUAGGUGCACUUCAACUGUGAGAGACGGAAUCUAAAACAAAAAUCCAGAAAAUCACAUUGUAUGAUUUUUAAGUAAUUCAUUUGGAUAUAAUUUAAAACCACAUGACAAUGAUUUGAAGAUACCAAGUGUAUUAUAAAUUAAAUGAAACUGUUUCACAAAAAUGUGUAUAUGAAAACCAUAACUGGCACGCAGAUCGGUAGAAAUGGUCAGAUAUAUUGUCAUUCCACAUGAGAAAGGUUGCCGACUCCUCGUGUAGACUAUUAGCGUCAACUUCAGGAGAGUAAUGGCAGAAUCGGAGAGGCAGCAGGAGCAGGAGGAGAAUAGUUGGGUUAGGUUAAGGUUUUAUUCUUCUGGGUAUCGCGAACUCUGGCGCCCUCGAGGCAUCAAACAGUAAGCUUAAAGCAUCAGACAAACUCAAUGCACAUCGUUGAUCAUAUUAAAACAAAUUGGUUGUGUCUAUAUAUGGUAAAAUACAUGUUUAAAAAUGUUAAGCAAUCGAUUGGUCGAAAGAAUAGACGACUUUCGGUCAACCAAGAUUUUUUUCCUUCUUCUUUCGGGGACAGCCCUACCAGGAUGUUUUGUGUCCUACUUAUAUCAGUACACUCAUAACAACCUAAUCAUUACGGAACUUCUAUUCGAUCAAAUAAGCCACUCGUAGCAAAUAAGCCAUUCCAAUUUCUGUUUACCAAAUCCAUACAAAAUCUCCUAGAUUGGUGCGCGAAAACACUACCUGCUGGAUAAGACAGAUUUUGGGCUCAGUAAUCCCUCUCGCUUCGCCUCUACCUUUCUGACUUUAUACAUUGUAUUACAUUAGUAUGAAUACUUGGGUGAUAUAUAGGUAAAAUACUA